CAGUUGCCUAGGGUAGCUCCCGAAAAGCAGAACCUGUGACUGCCUGGCAACUGAUUUGUAAUCACAGG
rnacentral:ncRNA from 1 species